CUUGGUUUCCGGUCCCCAGGAAGGAACACCUGCAAGUUGCAGAAGAGAAGCGUCCUGAGAGGGAAAUGACCAGGGUGUCGCGGUGGACGGCGGCGUGCCAGAAACACCGGCGGUACAACCCCCUGACUUUGUUCACCAAAAUAAAGGUCGUCGGACAGUUUCAGAGUCCGUGUGCAGUGAACUGUAGAUGAAAACGCCACUUAUCUGCGGCCGGAUUGCACAGGGCAUGCCGUAUGCGGAAACAUGAAAGUGCUGGGCCUGCUCGCGGGGCGGGCUGGACUCCACUGGCAGUUUACAGAAAUGAAUAGCUGUGUACUCCGGUCACCUCCACACAGCACCUCCUGCAAAUUGGGGAGCAGGGUUGUGGGCCGCUCCAAAGUUCACAGAAGUCCCAGGCUGUGUCUCAUUGGCUGUCGGGAGGCAAUCAUCAAUCUUCAGCGUGGAGGUUACACACUUGAUUUAACCUCUGGAAAAACACAUUGACCCCUGUUCACGCACUUUCUCAAUAAUUGACUUGCUUUUGCCAGGGGAGGACAAAACAUAGGAGGUCUGGUCUGGCAACUGCUAGACAGUCAGGUCUGGAUUCCAGUGUGGGCCACAUUUAAAUGUCUUGGACUGAACCUCGGCUGGUGUUUUCAUGGUGUUUGGCAGAGGCAUUGAGAAGGACUCUCUCUGUCUCGGGUGUAUACAGAAAAUGUAUCCUAAGAAAAAUAAACACAGGAGCCGUGUGUGUGUGAUUUAAAUGAUAGGAUCAUGCAACAAUGUAAUAGGGGCUUCCUUUGUUGGCAGGACGUAUGUGAGCAUUUCUGAGAUUACAUACAUGCUUUAUAUGUCUACACCUUGUCUUUUUCUCUCCGCAAAUCUCAUCCUGCGCGUACGUGAUCCGGACGCAGAGACUUGAAAAUCUUGUCUGAGAAAUAUUUGUGGCCUGAUGUAUGUUAGUUGAAGUCAGGUCAGGGAGACAAAAGGAGCCAUAGAGCACCUGGAUCUGUAUCUCCACCCACUGAGGGAUAACAGACAGGCGGUACCUCCUAAUCCACAGAGAUUAAGAUGGGCGAAAGCUGUGAAGGCAGUUGGGAUUUAAAAAAAUGCAUAAGUUAUUGCCUUUUCACCUGAAAUGAAAGUAUGACUAUGAGUUAACACAUGACACAAAUCACGGGUGAAGGAAAAAUGUUCAAGAAAUAAUUCAAUAAAUCAAAUAUUUCAAGUAAAAAUGUGUUCUCAGACGGUAUUAUUUAAAGUUAAAGGCUAUUUUUAAACACAUCAAUUUAUUCUACUUUGCAUUUUACAACUUAUGUAUUUAUUCAGUCAUAGCAAUUGGAGAAGAAGAGACUGAAGAGACUCCUUUAAAAUGUACUGAAAGUGGCUAUUGACAAUGGUCACAGGCACUAAGACUAAGACAGACAAAAAUACAACAAUAAACCAUGGAGGUGUUGCCUUAAUUUGUAAAAGAAAGGGAGAGGAAUUUAACCCAAAGAAGAGCAUCCUCACAGUGAAACAUGGAAGUGGGAGGAGAGAAAUAUUAUGUAAGAAGAAAAAAUCUAGAUGGUGAUUAUUCAUGCUAAUACAAAUAUGUUUUGUAGACACAACAUUCUGCACAGUAACGACAACAACAAGUCUGAGUUUGCUAACGUUAUGUUCCUGCUACAGUUCUUUCGUGUGUUUCUAUUGUUUCCAACACUUCCCAGUGGUCAUGUCUGUGAGCAAAUGAGAUGUAGAUUUCAACAGUAUAAAUGCCGUUGUCCUUCCCAGUCUGUCCAUUCAGAAUCCAACUUGAAAAGCCCAUCAGAUAGGCAUUUCCUCCUUCUGCACCAGCAACCAGAGUAGGCGACUGCUACAUUCUUAUCUUAUCAGCAGCAAUAAUCUCUCUCAACUUGUCAUGCCCAAACAGGGAGAAACACAGUCAUAACGCAAAGGGCAUUUAACUUCUACCUCUGUCACAUAUAAUUGCUCACACUGAAACCACUACCAAGCUUCCUCAGUCAUCGCCUCAGAUCGAAGGCUGGCUUUUUGUCAAACGAAAGAACGCUGGGGAAAAUCUCUCCUGGUCUUAAUACUCCCACAGCUUUCCUCUCUGCUGGCACAGUGACAUGAGUGAUAAGAGCGGUGGAGCAAACCGCUCAGUCUGGGUCUGUACAGGAAGAGCGAGGGAAUCAGUAGUGUUGUCCAUCAACGACAACUCUGCUGCCGUCAGAGCCCAGAACAAUGGCAACAGACUCCCCUGGCACUGGAGAAACUUAGUCAGCCCACACUGACGGAGGAGAUAGAGUGAGCGGGAAAAUGGAAGAAAGUAAUCCAAAAAUUACACACACUGACAGGCACGUGGACGCGGGCAGAUUCAAAAUCACCUCAGACCUCUCUGGACUUCAACGUCCAUAUCUCAUAUGAGAUUACAAACCAAACAUGAGGAAUGUUGACCCUUUACAGGCCUGUGACUCAAAUGGCUUCUAGUGAAACAUAACGUCACUGAACAAGAUAUGGUGUAAAGUAAUAAUAAGGAGGGUUGUGGGAUAGAUUCCUGACUUUUCUAUCAGUAGGUAGAUGCCAAAGUAAAGUGCUUUGAGUCGUGUAGAAAAGCACUAUAUACUAGUAAGUACUAAGUACAUACCAUUUAAACUAUGGCAAAUAUUAACAGUCCACAUGAAUGAACUGAAUAUAUUAAUCAUAUUUGAAUACUAUUGAAUACUAAGACAAAAGUUGACCUGUGUUUAUGUAUGUCUAUCUAAGUAAAAAAUAUAUAUUUUCCCAAUAUUUAGUAGAUGGUCAUGGCGUCCAAAUACCCGGGGUGUAGAAGCUGUGUAAAAGUUUGUCUUGCAUUUAUGUCAACUCAACUCACCUCUAAUUGAAAGGCCUUAGAACUAGUUCUUCCUGUGAUUACUGUAAAUCCAGGGAACUUACAAACUAAUUUAAUUAUAACUCAUUUGGCUCUUACAAGUGUUUUUGAGAAUCCAGCACGUGUUGAAUGUCAUGAGAAGACGAGUGGAUGCCAGACGUUGGAUGUUCCAGCUCUCAGAGCCACACUGAGUUGUUAAUUAUUGAUUUGACAUUGACAUUAUUAUAUAGGCAGAAACAUAAGACCAACACAAGAAGGAAGAGGAAGAAUUUAAGACUUAGAACCAUUCCAGGAACUUGUUUUGAAGUAAGGAUAUGUUUGCACCUACGCAGUGGAGACAAACAUACACACACCCAUACACACAUGCCGUCUGUCGUGAAUAGGGCAGAGUGAGUACAUCCUACAGAGCACACUUGCUGGAGGGGAAGUCGGGUCUUGAGGCUGUUUUAUGACAUCAGCACAGCAGAGCGACACCAUUUAUCACCGGCCACUGAACAUGGAGACAUUCAUAACAUCCUGACAGGAAAAUCUUGUGGAAAAUAAUCACUCGAGCUUUGAUAACAACUUGGCUCCUUCUUGUGGUCUUCAUUUGGAUCCUGGACAAUUAUGCGUAUCCUUUAAUCAUUAUUCAAAAAUUCACUUUUUAUCAUCUUUUUUUUUUCUCCACAGUCUUGAUAAAACCUACAUUUGUAAUGCUUGA